CGACUAUCAGUGUUCUUGUUGCUGCUAUGGUUACAGUCUCCUCCCCCCAUGUUAACUGUAGACCCUCUGGCCCUCACAUUUUGAGCGUCACCACGCUGCCAGUAAAGGAAAUGGCCUGAAACCCUGUUCUCCGAUAUUGUUCAGGACAUAGUAGCCUGUACUCACUGCCUGUUUACUCAAGCGAAAGGGCUCAGACUGCUUCCUCUAACGGUUGCAGAGAAGGGCUGAAGCUUUGUCAGCUGAGCCUUUGAGAUCUGGCUGGCUGUGAAUGAAUAAUUAAACUCCUGCCAAUGCAAAGGGAUUGGUAGCCGACUUCCCGUGACUGACCAGCCUCUCAUUAGCUCUGCCUGACUGCAGACCCUCCAGCCCUGACAAGUCCUCCAGCAGCUCGUUGGCCUGAGCACCCACUCCUGCCUCUGCUAAGAAAACCAACCACCAGGACUCCCAGAUAGUAUCAAGAAACUGAAACUCACCAGAUCACUGCCUCUGGACCAUGAGAUGUCAGAUCCCUCACCUGUCACGAUUGCCUAACUGACCACCUGCUUCCUGUUGACCAUCUCCUCUUCCCUACCCUCCUUAGUUCUUGUUUUCCCAUACAUUGUUACAUUUCUUCCUUGCUCUAUAAACCUCUAAUUACAGUCAGUUGGGGAGAUGGAUGUGGGACUGAUCUCCCAUCUCCUUGGCUGCAGCACCCAAUUAAACCUUCUUUCCUGGCAAUACUCAUUGUCUCAGUGAUUGGCUUUCUGUGUGGUGAGCAGCAGGACGUAGGCCAAACCCCUGGUAUUUCAGUAACAUUUCCUUCUUGGAACACAGUCCCAUAUUGUAAGGAACCCAACCCACAUGGAGAGGCCAGGUGGAAGAGAGUGGAGGCACUCAGUCUAUGGUCCCAGCUUAGUUCCCAACUAACAGCCAGCAUCAACCACCAGCCAUGUAAGCUCUCCACUGUGGACAUUCAGCUCAGCCAAGGCCCCACCCAGUUGACUAGAGUCCCACCUGACAUCACAUGCAAAAGAGCUACCCAGGUGAGCCAAGUCAGCCUAUACAGUUAGAAAGAAAAUAAAAUGAUUGUUGUUUCUAAGAUGCUAAGUUUUGAGGUGGUUUGUUUUUGUGCAACAUAUGAUUGAAACAGACCUUCAAUAAAUGUCUUGGCUUCUAGUGAAGACUUUUUUUGUCAUCAUUUAUGACCUAAUAUGUUAGGAAUCCAGAAGGCAG
rnacentral:lncRNA from 10 species